CUUUUUUGACGAAAUGACCAGUUGUUGCAUCGUAAUUGAACUGGAAUUGGUCCCAUUGCAGAGAAAUGAUUACUCGAAAAUUUAUAAUGCUCCCGUUGAUCGUCUUGCAUGCACGCCGAUUCCGCCUGAAUUUACCACCUCGGAACAUCUCCGGACUGGAAAACCUGGUGCUUCAAGGUCAGCGGCACUAUCUCCCGUGGAAGCUGCUCUACGACAGGAGGACAUUUAUCAGGUCGAUUUUGUGACGGUGAAGCACUUUUUUAAAAUAGAUUGUAGCCUUAUAUUUAGUUAAUGAAAUGUAUAAGAGAAACUUGAAAUAAUAAUUCAUGGCAACAUG